rnacentral:rRNA from 1 species
UCGCCUGUUUAUCAAAAACAUGUCUUUUUGAAUUUUUUUUAAAGUUUAACCUGCCCACUGAAUUAAUUUUAAAUGGCCGCAGUAUACUAACUGUGCAAAGGUAGCAUAAUCAUUAGUCUUUUAAUUGAAGGCUGGUAUGAAUGGUUGGACGAAAUAUUAACUGUUUCAUAAAAAUUUAUAUUAAAAUUUUAUUUUUUAGUUAAAAAGCUAAAAUAAAAUUAAAAGACGAGAAGACCCUAUAAAUCUUUAUAUUUAGAUUAUUAAAAUUUCUAGGAUUUUUUUUAUUAUAAUAAUUAAUAAUAUUUUAUUGGGGUGAUAUUAAAAUUUAAAUAACUUUUAAUUUUUAAAAUCAUUAAUUUAUGAAUAAUUGAUCCGUUAUUAACGAUUAAAAAUUUAAGUUACUUUAGGGAUAACAGCGUAAUUUUUUUGGAGAGUUCUUAUCGAUAAAAAAGAUUGCGACCUCGAUGUUGGAUUAAGAUAUAAUUUUAGGUGUAGCUGCUUAAAUUUUGAGUCUGUUCGACUUUUAAAUUCUUACAUGAUCUGAGUUCAAACCGGUGUAAGCCAGGUUGGUUUCUAUCUUUAAUAAAUUAAAAUACUUUAGUACGAAAGGACCUAGUAUUUAAUAAAUUAUUAUUUUUGUAUUGAAUAUUAUUAAUAU